AUGUUUUUAGUCUAUUGGCGUUAGCUUUGAAGGGGCUAAAAUUUUUAAAACAUU
rnacentral:tRNA from 1 species